CGGACGGGUGAGUAAUGUCUGGGAAACUGCCUGAUGGAGGGGGAUAACUACUGGAAACGGUAGCUAAUACCGCAUAACGUCGCAAGACCAAAGAGGGGGACCUUCGGGCCUCUUGCCAUCGGAUGUGCCCAGAUGGGAUUAGCUAGUAGGUGGGGUAACGGCUCACCUAGGCGACGAUCCCUAGCUGGUCUGAGAGGAUGACCAGCUACACUGGAACUGAGACACGGUCCAG
rnacentral:rRNA from 1 species